rnacentral:rRNA from 1 species
GACGAACGCUGGCGGCGUGCUUAACACAUGCAAGUCGAACGGAAAGGCCCUGCUUGCAGGGUGCUCGAGUGGCGAACGGGUGAGUAACACGUGGGUGAUCUGCCCCUUACUUUGGGAUAAGCCAGGGAAACUGGGUCUAAUACUGGAUAGGACCAUGCUGUAGGUGGUGUGGUGGAAAGAUUAGUUUCGGUAAGGGAUGAGCUCGCGGCCUAUCAGCUUGUUGGUGGGGUAAUGGCCUACCAAGGCGUCGACGGGUAGCCGGCCUGAGAGGGUGGACGGCCACAUUGGGACUGAGAUACGGCCCAGACUCCUACGGGAGGCAGCAGUGGGGAAUAUUGCACAAUGGGCGCAAGCCUGAUGCAGCGACGCCGCGUGGGGGAUGACGGCCUUCGGGUUGUAAACUCCUUGCAGCCAUGACGAAGCCCUUGUGGUGACGGUAGUGGUAGAAGAAGCACCGGCUAACUACGUG